rnacentral:ribozyme from 1 species
UAAAUGGGUUAUUGUUGCCCAGGGCUGUCCGUGGUACCGGGAGAUUGGCACCCGAGAGGUCCCAAGCCUGCAUCAAUCGGCAGAAAUGCGUAAGACCGAUGGCAAGGUACAUCUUUGAGAGUCUUGUCGCACAGGGACGCGCCAAUCCGGAGAAUGGGGUGAAACUCCUCUGAAAUCCGGUGUUGCUUCAUUCCACACGAAGCACAAACAAACUGAAACACUUCAGAGGUUGUUGACCUGGAGGUACAUUAAGUUUGA